rnacentral:misc_RNA from 1 species
GGAAGAGGGGUUUGGUCUGGUUUUUGUGGGUAUGGCGUGAGAGAAGAGGGAGAUGGAGUUUUCUGCUUCAAUCGAUAAAAAUGGAGCUCGUCAGUAGAGAUCAGCGGUCGCGGAUUUGAUGCCGGAAAAGAGAAUGUGUAGAUGGAUUUUUUUUGGGUUUGGUUUGGAGGACUGGUGGGGUUUAUUUGGUCAGCAAAUGAAUGGAUUUUCACGUGAGUUUGGGGCUGUUUGCUGGUUGGUUUGGGUCAGAGAAGAAAACGAAAAGGAGGGUGUUUGGGUGGUGGCUC